GCCGGGUGCGGUGGCGCGCGCCUGUAAUCCAAGUUACCGGGAGGCUGAGGCUGGCGGAUCGUUUGAGCUCAGGAGUUCUGAGCUGCAGCGGACUAUGCCGAUCGGGUGUCCGCACUAAGUUCGGUAUCGAUAUGGUGCUCCUGGGGGAGCCCGGGACCACCAGGUCGUCUAAGGAGGGGUGCACCGGCCCAGGCCGGAGACGGAGCAGGCCAAAGCCCCCGUGCCGCUCAGUAGUGGGAUCGCGCCUGUGAAUAGACGCUGUAGUGCAGCCUGAGUAAUACAGCGGGACCCAGUCUUUU
ensembl:misc_RNA Metazoa_SRP Metazoan signal recognition particle RNA